AGUCCCUCCCGACUGUUUACCAAAAACACAGCACUCUGCUAACUCGUAAGAGGAUGUAUAGGGUGUGACGCCUGCCCGGUGCUCGAAGGUUAAUUGAUGGGGUUAGCAUUAGCGAAGCUCUUGAUCGAAGCCCGAGUAAACGGCGGCCGUAACUAUAACGGUCCUAAGGUAGCGAAAUUCCUUGUCGGUUAAAUACCGACCUGCAUGAAUGGCGUAACGAGAUGGGAGCUGUCUCAAAGAGGGAUCCAGUGAAAUUGUAGUGGAGGUGAAAAUUCCUCCUACCCGCGGCAAGACGGAAAGACCCCGUGGACCUUUACUACAGCUUGACACUGCUAUUUGGAUAAGAAUGUGCAGGAUAGGUGGGAGGCUUUGAGUAUAUGACGCCAGUUGUAUAUGAGCCAUUGUUGAGAUACCACUCUUUCUUAUUUGGGUAGCUAACCAGCUUGAGUUAUCCUCAAGUGGGACAAUGUCUGGUGGGUAGUUUGACUGGGGCGGUCGCCUCCCAAAUAAUAACGGAGGCUUACAAAGGUUGGCUCAUAGCGGUUGGAAAUCGCUAGUAGAGUAUAAAGGUAUAAGCCAGCUUAACUGCAAGACAUACAAGUCAAGCAGAGACGAAAGUCGGUCUUAGUGAUCCGGUGGUUCUGUGUGGAAGGGCCAUCGCUCAAAGGAUAAAAGGUACCCCGGGGAUAACAGGCUGAUCUCCCCCAAGAGCUCACAUCGACGGGGAGGUUUGGCACCUCGAUGUCGGCUCAUCGCAUCCUGGGGCUGGAGCAGGUCCCAAGGGUAUGGCUGUUCGCCAUUUAAAGCGGUACGCGAGCUGGGUUCAGAACGUCGUGAGACAGUUCGGUCCCUAUCUGCCGUGGGCGUAAGAAGAUUGAAGAGAUUUGACCCUAGUACGAGAGGACCGGGUUGAACAAACCACUGGUGUAGCUGUUGUUCUGCCAAGAGCAUCGCAGCGUAGCUAAGUUUGGAAAGGAUAAACGCUGAAAGCAUCUAAGCGUGAAGCCAACUCUAAGAUGAAUCUUCUCUAAGCUCUCUAGAAGACUACUAGUUUGAUAGGCUGGGUGUGUAAUGGAUGAAAGUCCUUUAGCUGACCAGUACUAAUAGAGCGUUUGGCUUAUCUUAUAAA
rnacentral:rRNA from 1 species